rnacentral:tRNA from 1 species
UCCCUGGUGGCUCAGAUGGUAAAGCGUCUGUCUACAACGCAGGAGACCCGGGGUUCGAUCCCUAGGUUGGGAA